AGAGUUUGAUCCUGGCUCAGAUUGAACGCUGGCGGCAUGCUUUACACAUGCAAGUCGGACGGCAGCACAGGGAAGCUUGCUUCUCGGGUGGCGAGUGGCGAACGGGUGAGUAACAUAUCGGAACGUACCGGGUAGCGGGGGAUAACUGAUCGAAAGAUCAGCUAAUACCGCAUACGUCUUGAGAGGGAAAGCAGGGGACCUUCGGGCCUUGCGCUAUCCGAGCGGCCGAUAUCUGAUUAGCUGGUUGGCGGGGUAAAGGCCCACCAAGGCGACGAUCAGUAGCGGGUCUGAGAGGAUGAUCCGCCACACUGGGACUGAGACACGGUCCAGACUCCUACGGGAGGCAGCAGUGGGGAAUUUUGGACAAUGGGCGCAAGCCUGAUCCAGCCAUGCCGCGUGUCUGAAGAAGGCCUUCGGGUUGUAAAGGACUUUUGUCAGGGAAGAAAAGGCCGUUGCCAAUAUCGGCGGCCGAUGACGGUACCUGAAGAAUAAGCACCGGCUAACUACGUGCCAGCAGCCGCGGUAAUACGUAGGGUGCGAGCGUUAAUCGGAAUUACUGGGCGUAAAGCGGGCGCAGACGGUUACUUAAGCAGGAUGUGAAAUCCCCGGGCUCAACCCGGGAACUGCGUUCUGAACUGGGUGACUCGAGUGUGUCAGAGGGAGGUGGAAUUCCACGUGUAGCAGUGAAAUGCGUAGAGAUGUGGAGGAAUACCGAUGGCGAAGGCAGCCUCCUGGGAUAACACUGACGUUCAUGUCCGAAAGCGUGGGUAGCAAACAGGAUUAGAUACCCUGGUAGUCCACGCC
rnacentral:rRNA from 1 species